GACGAACGCUGGCGGCGUGCCUAAUACAUGCAAGUCGAACGCAGUGGGGACGGGUGAGUAACACGUGGGUAACCUCCCAUCAGAGGGGAUAACACUUGGAAACAGGUGCUAAACCGAUACUGAUGGAUGGACCCGCGGGGCAUUUGCUAGUGGGUGAGGUAACGGCUCACCAAGGCCACGAUGCAUAGCCGACCUGAGAGGGGUGUCGGUCACACUGGGACUGAGACAAGGCCCAGACGCCUACGGGAGUCAGCAGGAGGGAGUCUUCGGCAAUGGACGAAAGUCUGACCGAGCAACGCCGCGUGAGUGAAGAAGGUGUUCGGAUCGUAAAACGCGGUUGUUAGAUAAGCGGUAUCUAACCAGAAAGCCACGGCUAACUACGUGCCAGCAGCCGCGGUAAUAC
rnacentral:rRNA from 1 species